rnacentral:rRNA from 1 species
UACGAAGGACCCGAGCGUUAUCCGGAUUUAUUGGGUUUAAAGGGUGCGUAGGCGGAUUAGUAAGUCAGUGGUGAAAGCCCAUCGCUUAACGGUGGAAUUGCCAUUGAUACUGCUAGUCUUGAGUAUGGUUGAGGUGGGCGGAAUGUGUCAUGUAGCGGUGAAAUGCUUAGAUAUGACCCAGAACACCAAUAGCGAAGGCAGCUCGCUAAACCAUAACUGACGCUGAUGCACGAAAGCGUGGGGAGCAAACAGG